UGGAGAUGGGUACUUCUCUAGGAAACAUGAAUGGCUCUGUUGAUUAGAGUAAAUAAUUUUGAUAUUUCGGAAUUUUUAUUCUUAGCAUGUCUCAUGAGGAAUUAACAUAUGUAAUUAGUAAUAAUAAGAUAACAAUUUACACGCCACAUGGGUGUUUGAUUUAGCUGUUCAUCAGCUAGUCUUAUGAGACACGUCAAAUACCACUUGUAAUUCGAAACAAGUGCAGGGUAAAAAAAUAGGGAUGUCCGGGUAUGGUGAUUGUGUACACAUUUAAGGUUCUUGCAACUUAGACCUCACAAGGAAGGUGGGGAUCACUUUAGGGUUGGUCUAAGGAAGGUGGGGAUCACUUUAGGGUUUUUCAAGGUUCAUUUGGAAAGUUAUUUUGUUUCUAAAUAUUUUUCUGUACCUUUUCCAUAAAUUACCAUUUAAGCUUACUAGGACUUAACGUUUUCUUUAUUCAUUUAAACCGGUUCAUCUUCCAAAAUUUGUUUUCAUAUUGAAAAAACAACAUAUGACACUAAGAAUUUAGUAGUAUCUCAAUCAUGUCAUCACUGAGUUACUCUAAAAAUUUGGGAUCCAUUGGAUUAGCACAAAAAUAGUUAAAAUUAUUUUAUUACCCAAAGAUAGCAUGUACUUAACCAUUUUUAUAUCAAAAUCUACAGUGAUUCUAAGGGUGAAACUUUAGCAGUGGGUUGAAGGUGUGUUAUAGAAACUUUGGUGAAUUAUUCAUGAUUUUUGGUCAAGGACAACUAUU
rnacentral:lncRNA from 1 species